rnacentral:rRNA from 1 species
AUUGAACGCUGGCGGCAGGCCUAACACAUGCAAGUCGAGCGAAUGAAGGGAGCUUUCUCUUGGAUUCAGCGUCGGACGGGUGAGUAAUGCCUAGGAAUCUGCCUGGUAGUGGGGGAUAACGUCCGGAAACGGCCGCUAAUACCGCAUCCUACCUUAGGGAGAAAGUGUGGGAUCUUCGGACCUCACGCUAUCAGAUGAGCCUAGGUCGGAUUAGCUAGUUGGUGGGGUAAAGGCCUACCACGGCGACGAUCCGUAACUGGUCUGCGAGGAUGAUCAGUCAAACUGGAACUGAGACACGGUCCAGACUCCGACGGGAGGCAGCAGUGGGGAAUAUUGGACAAUGGGCGAAAGCCUGAUCCAGCCAUGCCGCGUGUGUGAAGAAGGUCUUCGGAUUGUAAAGCACUUUAAGUUGGGAGGAAGGGAAGUAAGUUAAUACCUUGAUGUUUUGACGUUACCAACAGAAUAAGCACCGGCUAACUACGUG